CAGCAGCCGCCGCGGGAAUACGAGGGGUGCAAGCGUUGUUCGGAAUUAUUGGGCGUAAAGGGCGCGUAGGCGGUUUGACAAGUCUGAUGUGAAAUCUCUGGGCUCAACCCAGAGUCUGCAUCGGAAACUGUCGAGCUUGAGUAUGGGAGAGGUGAGUGGAAUUUCCGGUGUAGCGGUGAAAUGCGUAGAUAUCGGAAGGAACACCUGUGGCGAAAGCGGCUCACUGGACCAUUACUGACGCUGAGGCGCGAAAGCUAGGGGAGCAAACAGGAUUAGAUACCCCGGUAGUCCCUGUCUCUUAUAA
rnacentral:rRNA from 1 species